CAGCCAGGAUGUUGGCUUAGAAGCAGCCAUCAUUUAAAGAAAGCGUAAUAGCUCACUAGUCGAGUCGGCCUGCGCGGAAGAUGUAACGGGGCUAAACCAUGCACCGAAGCUGCGGCAGCGACACUAUGUGUUGUUGGGUAGGGGAGCGUUCUGUAAGCCUGCGAAGGUGUGCUGUGAGGCAUGCUGGAGGUAUCAGAAGUGCGAAUGCUGACAUAAGUAACGAUAAAGCGGGUGAAAAGCCCGCUCGCCGGAAGACCAAGGGUUCCUGUCCAACGUUAAUCGGGG
rnacentral:rRNA from 1 species